GAUGAACGCUGGCGGCGUGCCUAAUACAUGCAAGUCGAGCGAACAGAUGAGGAGCUUGCUCCUCUGACGUUAGCGGCGGACGUGUGAGUAACACGUGGAUAACCUACCUGUAAGACUGGGAUAACUUCGGGAAACCGGAUCUAAUACCGGAUAAUAUAUUGAACCACAUGGUUCAAUAGUGAAAGACGGUUUUGCGGUCACUUAUAGAUGGAUCCCCGCCGCUUUAGCUGGUUGGUAAGGUAACAGCUUACCAAGGCAACGAUGCGUAGCCGACGUGAUGGGGUGAUAGGCCGCCUUGGAAUUGAGACACGGCCCAGAGUACUACGGGAGGCACCAGUAGGGAAUCUUCCGCAAUGGGCGAAAGCCUGACGGAGCAACGCCGCGUGAGUGAUGAAGGUCUUGGGAUCGUAAAACUGUGUUAUUAGGGAAGAACAACUGUGUAAGUUACUAUGCACGUCUUGACGGUACCUAAUCAGAAAGCCACGGCUAACUACGUG
rnacentral:rRNA from 1 species